rnacentral:sRNA from 1 species
GCUGUUACCUCUUCUGGCGUCCCUGCCCGCGGAAGUUCGCUCCUAGGGAAGUCGCUCGCGUCCUCAAGAGCACCUGAGAGGAUCUCGGCGAAGCGGAAGGCUUUGGUGCCAGCUGGGAGAGUCUGCGCCGGAUUUCCUCAGCUCCUUGGCGCGUUUCCUCGGAGCCGGGGGAGGCAAAGCACGGACCCCGGAGUCGGCGCCCAUAGCGGGACGCCCUCGCGAGGGGCGGGAGUGCGGGGAGAGCCGAGCUGCUGCCCUUGACUGGUGCUCAGGGGACCACAGCUGCAAUGACAGUUUGGGCCUGCAAAAAGAAGGCUGGAACAACGGGAGAUGGAAGCUUUCUGCAAAUGCAGCACCACUGGUAUCCAUGAAUUUAACCUGCCCAUCAUUCUUCCUAGACAAGAGACUAUUGAAAAGUCAGGGUGUUCAAAAUGGCUUCAGAUCUUGUCAGGACAAUCUUGGUUGUUGCACUAAUUUCCAAACUUGUAAGUGCAAUGGAUCUGCAGUUCUACUUGGCAAGAUAACCAUUUUAAGUUGAAUGAGAAUGACAUCACACUCACACCUGCAAAAUCUAAAAUGUCUAAUAAAGUAGAUUCCUAUGUCUGAACUUCAAUUUUAGGGCACAGCUGUAGAUGCAGAACUGAUGCCAUCUGGUGCGAUUCUACAGAAUAAGAGAGAAAAUUUACCCAGAGUGUGCCAUGCACUGGCUUUUCUGGGAAUGGCAAGGUGCCAGGAUUUGUUUUUGGUUCGCUUGCAGGGGUGGAAACUUGGAACUAGGUUCCAAGAUGGUCCCCGCAGUACCCCACAAGAAGAAGGAGGAAGCCCACAGAGAAAGCGGAGCAUGCCAGUUCAAAUCCACUUCCUUUUAAAGAGCUUCCUCAGCAGCCCAAUAACUUUUGCCUUCAUCUCAUUGGCCAGAACUGUGUCAUUGGCUACUGCUAUCUGCAAGAUUGUCUGAGAAAUGUAGUUUUUGUAGCUGGAUAUAUAACUGCCUUUGACAAAA